rnacentral:rRNA from 1 species
GACGAACCGUGCGAACGUUAUUCGGAAUCACUGGGCUUAAAGCGCGUGUAGGCGGGACGGCACGUCUGUCGCUGAAAUCCCCCGGCUUAACCGGGGAACUGGCGUAGAUACGACCGUCCUGGAGGGGCGUGAGGGGACCUGGAACUUCCGGUGGAGCGGUGAAAUGCGUUGAGAUCGGAAGGAACGCCCGUGGCGAAAGCGAGGUCCUGGACGCCUACUGACGCUGAGACGCGAAAGCCAGGGGAGACGAACGGG